AAUCAACGCUGGCGGCGUGCCUAACACAUGCAAGUCGAACGCGAAAGUGGAGCAAUCCAUGAGUAGAGUGGCAAACGGGUGAGUAACACGUGGGUGACCUGCCUUCGAGCGGGGGAUAACGUCCCGAAAGGGACGCUAAUACCGCAUAACAUCCUGCCUUUUAAGAGGUGGAGAUCAAAGCCGGGGAUUCGCAAGAACCUGGCACUUGAAGAGGGGCCCGCGCCUGAUUAGCUAGUUGGUGGGGUAAUGGCCUACCAAGGCAUCGAUCAGUAUCCGGCCUGAGAGGGCGGACGGGACACACUGGGACUGAGACACGGGCCCAGACUCCUACGGGAGGCAGCAGUGGGGAAUUGUUCGCAAUGGGCGCAAGCCUGACGACGCAACGCCGCGUGGAGGAUGAAGACCUUCGGGUCGUAAACUCCUUUCGAUCGAGACGAAUGUUUUUCGGCUGAAUAAUCCGGAAAAAGUGACGGUACCGAGAGAAGAAAGCCCCGGGCUAAAACUCUGUGCCAGCCGCCGC
rnacentral:rRNA from 1 species